ensembl:lncRNA
AUUCCAAUUGGACUCUUAAUAUCUCACCCGGCACAGCCAGAAGAGGACUGGUCACCCCUCUGAGCCUGGGUCCUCUCUAGGUUUCUUCCUAAAAUUCGGGCUUCUUAGGGAGUUUUUCCUAGCCACUGAAAUUCAACACUACUGUUGUUUGCUCCUUUGGGUUUAAGGCCGGGUGUCUCUGUAAAGCACUUUGUGACAACUGCUGUUGUAAAAAGCGCUUUAUAAAUACAUUUUGAUUGAUUGAUUGACUUGUUUUUAUUUAUAACAAUAUUUUAAAACCCCAACCGCGACACAAUCCACCUUUGCGAAAUGUGUGGUUGGCCCUGGGCCAUGGAUACUCCUUCAAAAUAAUAGCAUUGCUCAUGCGAUGUUAGUUUGCUGUAAUGCUGUGUUGGACUACAAACCGUGAGAUACGGGAUGAUUUCAACCUGCAUAUAUUACAGUUUGUAUUAGUGGUUAUUUAAGGACCAUUACUACUGGGCAGAUAUAACCUUGAAGCCCAUCUCUUGUUAAAAUGAAUGUUGGGCUGAAAACUAUCCAAAAUCGUAAGUCCCUCCCCAUCCUCUUCUUUAUAUCUUACAGAAAAAACAUGUAUCCCACGUGUAACUCCGUGCUUCUGGAAAAACACCAUGGUACAACCACAUUGUAAAACAUGGACGUUUACAUCUGUACUAUCCAAAAUGGAAGUUUACAUCUGUACCACAUGGCAUUGGAACCCUGCCACCCUUUUGUUUAACACCAAACAACUUAGGUACCAAAGGGAAAUUCCCAACACUGGGAAUUUAACAUUCCGGAACCCUAAGCCCCAUUUGUUAAUUAACAUUCCGGAACCCUAAGCCCCAUUUGUUAAUCAUCAAACAUAACCCACCUGUUAUAACACUGGUUUGCUCAUCAGGUGUUGUAAAACAUCAAACACUGACACAUCAAUGUAAUCAUAAAUCACAAAGUCACCGGACAUGCAUACGUCACUCCUGAAGUCCCACCCUAACAUACGUCAUACCGGAAGUCCCACACUAACAUACGUCAUACAGGAAGUCCCACCCUACAAACCGGAUGUCCCGCCCACCUGUCACAUCAAUAUGGAAGUCCCGCCCCCCAGAGCCAUAAAUCACCAUUCUGACCCAUUAUACCCUACACUAACUACUCAUCUGGACUGACUCAUAGGAACAGGGACACUUGACUUUGGGACUCUGGGGUCAUAGCAGAGCACAGACAUUAUUACAAACAUAGCUAUGUAUUCAUUUGACCAUGGUUAUACUAAUUCAUCCAGUUUGGCAACAUUACCCUAAUUUAUCCAUAAACAAUAUAGAGAAAGGUUUUAAUAAUCUUAGCUAAUGGCACUACAAAACUCAUUUUUGUUUGUUCACGUUUUCCAUUUUUUCUAAAUGUAUCAUUGUUUGAAACAAUUGUAAAUCACUUGUGAUAACUUUAUACAACUCAGGUAUUUAUUUUUGACAUUAAGUCCCACCAUUUCAUUAUUAGUUGAGUAUUAUUUUUAGUAUUGCAGUAGCCUAGACCAGGAUAAUAGGUAAACUGAUGCAAUGUUUUGUCUUCUCCUUUCUCCUGUAAGGACUGUGUGAGGCGGGACCUCUAGCUCAAUACAUGGACACGAUUUGGGAACAACCAUGUGAAGUGAAACCUCCUGCAACCUUUCCCUUUGCAACAGACCUGGGGCACAAAGAGGCUUGCUACAGAAGAAGAUGAGACUGUGUUUCUGUCAAAGUUUCUACAGCAUGAAGAUCAGGGCAGAGAGGCCUUUGGGUCGAUACGGACAGGGACAACAACAGGACCAUGUGCCAGAAAUGUCUACUGGAGGAAAUGGAAGGAUUCCUUUGGGAGGCCCCAACCAAGUCCUGCUGACCAGGAAAACAACGGAAAAGAUAACUGAUCCAGGUUCCUGCAGAGGAAGCAACCACUGACUGAUUGUGUGUUAAUGUUGUUGUGUUUUCAACUUUUGUUUGCACCGCUAAUGUUGUUGUGUUGUGCAACGUAGGAGCCAGCUAUGAAGAGGAAAUGUUACUGACCGACCCACCAACCUCCCCCACCCAUCCAUUGUUAAAUAAAGUAGUGGUUAGAAACGUGGACUGUGGUUCAAGCCUCACCACAGACCUAACAAAUUAGGCAUUAGGAUUUGUUCAUAUUGCUCUUGUUUUCGAAUGACGAGUUUGGUCUCUACUUAAGAGUGAUCACUGGUGGCGUUAUAUCUUCAACAAAACAGUGAUGUAGACUGGGAGAAACAUUUUUACAAAUGAAAAAGACGACAUUCAUCUACUUGUCCAGCAAUCAGCAGGACAGACACGUCACUGCGUCCAGCAAUAUAAGGUGAGAGGAGAGUGGCCAUGACUCUAUGGGGUUUGGCCACCAAUGUUGAAUACAGAACCAUUGCCCAACUGUUUGGUGUGGGUGUGUCCACAGUCUGCACAGCUGUGCACCAGGUCAGUAAGGUAUCACAUAAACACCCAGCACUUUAUUACCCUACUAUUUCAGUGCUAGGAAACAACUGAGAUUAUUAUAUCUGAGAUCAUUAUAAUACAUGGCAUAACAAAAACAUAUAACCUAAAAGCAAGAUGGGGCAGCAGGGUAGCCUAGCUAUUAGUUAAAGUGCCAGUAACAGAAAAGUUGCUGGCUUAAAAUGUCAAAGCCAUUAAGGUGAUUUGUUGAUCUGGAAAAAAUAAAAGUUUAAUUAUGAAGCAUGAUAUAGCAAGGGACAUUAUUGCUAUGUUGCUGUCAAUUAUGAUCCCUG